CAAUAAUUCAGAUAUUCUUAUCUGCAUAUAUUGAAGACACCCCUGGGUUCAGGGAGAAGGUCUUACUCCUUAUUAGUUUUAUUUACUGAUGACCCCAAGCGAUAAACACUACCGAUCCAUAAUCAAGACUCAAGAGGUUCAAAAAUUGGGGAAAAAUUAAAUCAGAAUGUUAAAUUGGGGAAAGAAAAUUGGAGCAAAAUUAAUCGAUCAACGUUGUUCGAAUCAAAAUUCAGAAGGCAUGAUACGUGAAUUUCAGAGCAAUUUGGCAGAGUUUGGAGUAAAAAGAAGAAAAGCCUACAACAACCCCCUAGGUGCUAAAUGCCCAACUGGCGUGUAACGCUAGCAAGGGAUCAAGGUGUGCAUGAGUUUACUCCUCCUAGGGCAUUAUAAGCCCAUCUCUGGCGUGAAAUGCCAAGAGCAGGCCGAACACAUCCUCUCAUUGGGUCUCCAAGUGGAUUUAUCACCUCUUAGUUUUAUUUCCUUUUGUAAUCUUUAUUUACAAACGAGAUCUUUUUUUAGGUUUAACAUUUAUUACUAAGUUAGUAUAUAAGGAGUAAGAUGCACCCUUUCUGGGCAUCUUUCAUCAAGCAUCAUUAGACGGAAUUGUGUUUUCUCUGUGAGU